rnacentral:rRNA from 1 species
UACGAAGGGGGCUAGCGUUGCUCGGAAUCACUGGGCGUAAAGCGCACGUAGGCGGACUCUUAAGUCGGUGGUGAAAUCCUGGAGCUCAACUCCAGAACUGCCUUCGAUACUGAGAGUCUCGAGUCCGGGAGAGGUGAGUGGAACUGCGAGUGUAGAGGUGAAAUUCGUAGAUAUUCGCAAGAACACCAGUGGCGAAGGCGGCUCACUGGCCCGGUACUGACGCUGAGGCACGGAAAGCGUGGGGAGCAAACAGG